rnacentral:rRNA from 1 species
UACGUAGGGGGCAAGCGUUGUCCGGAAUCAUUGGGCGUAAAGCGCGCGUAGGCGGCCCGGUAAGUCCGUUGUGAAAGUCAAAGGCUCAACCUUUGAACGCCGAUGGAUACUGCCGGGCUAGAGUACGGAAGAGGCGAGUAGAAUUCCUGGUGUAGCGGUGGAAUGCGCAGAUAUCAGGAGGAAUACCCAUAGCGAAGGCAGCUCGCUGGGACGUUACUGACGCUGAGGCGCGAAAGCGUGGGGAGCGAACAGG